rnacentral:rRNA from 1 species
UACGUAGGGUGCAAGCGUUAAUCGGAAUUACUGGGCGUAAAGCGUGCGCAGGCGGUUAUGUAAGACAGAUGUGAAAUGCCCGGGCUUAACCUGGGAACUGCAUUUGUGACUGCAUGGCUAGAGUUUGGCAGAGGGGGGUAGAAUUCCACGUGUAGCAGUGAAAUGCGUAGAUAUGUGGAGGAACACCGAUGGCGAAGGCAGCCCCCUGGGUCAAGACUGACGCUCACGCACGAAAGCGUGGGGACAAACAGG